rnacentral:piRNA from 1 species
AAGGGCAUGUGGGUAAGUCAACAA